UACGGGAGGCAGCAGUGGGGAAUAUUGCACAAUGGGCGCAAGCCUGAUGCAGCCAUGCCGCGUGUAUGAAGAAGGCCUUCGGGUUGUAAAGUACUUUCAGUCGUGAGGAAGGUGUUAAGGUUAAUAACCUUAGCAAUUGACGUUAGCGACAGAAGAAGCACCGGCUAACUCCGUGCCAGCAGCCGCGGUAAUACGGAGGGUGCGAGCGUUAAUCGGAAUUACUGGGCGUAAAGGGCACGCAGGCGGUUAAUUAAGUUGGAUGUGAAAUCCCCGGGCUUAACCUGGGAAUGGCAUUCAAGACUGGUUAGCUAGAGUCUUGUAGAGGGGGUAGAAUUCCAUGUGUAGCGGUGAAAUGCGUAGAGAUGUGGAGGAAUACCGGUGGCGAAGGCGGCCCCUGGACAAAGGCUGACGCUCAUGUGCGAAAGCGUGGGGAGCGAAACAGGGA
rnacentral:rRNA from 1 species